rnacentral:misc_RNA from 1 species
AAAAACCAAAGACCAAGACUUCUUAUAGAAAAAAGCUAUCCGUGCGACAGAGCGGAGUUACCAUUCGGGGGAAAAGAAUUAUUAAUUCUAUUUUUUUAAAUAAAAAAAACAAAUACCCAGGAGUUUUAUUUUUCUUUUAUUGAGCAAUCAACUUUCCAACACAAAUUUUUAGUUCAAAACUUGAUGCAGGCAAGAAACGACUUGCUUUAUAACGUGAGAAGCUCAUUCAGAUGUCAUUACUUCAUACCCAAAGCAAAUAAGCUCUUAAACAGAUUUUCUGCACUGCUGCACCUCCAUAAGCACAUUACAACUUGUAGAUAUAUUAUAAU